rnacentral:tRNA from 1 species
GGACCCAUAGUCUAGCGGCUAUGACGUCUCCUUCACAGGGAGAAGGUCGCCAGUUCGAAUCUGGCUGGGUCCA